GCAGCAUGAAUUAACUUCGGUUAAUUUGAUGGCGAGUGGCGAACGGGUGAGUAACGCGUAGGAAUAUGCCUUAAAGAGGGGGAUAACUCGGGGAAACUCGGGCUAAUACCGCGUAAGCUCUACGGAGUAAAGUAUGGGACCUUCGGGCCAUACGCUUUAAGAAUAGCCUGCGUCCGAUUAGCUGGUUGGUGGGGUAAAGGCCUACCAAGGCGAUGAUCGGUAGCUGGUCUGAGAGGAUGGACAGCCACACUGGGACUGAGACACGGCCCAGACUCCUACGGGAGGCAGCAGUGGGGAAUAUUGGACAAUGGGGGCAACCCUGAUCCAGCGAUGCCGCGUGUGUGAAGAAGGCCUGAGGGUUGUAAAGCACUUUUAGUGGGGAGGAAAGGCAAUGGGUUAAGAGCUAAUUGCUGUGACGUUACCCACCAUAAACAGCACCGG
rnacentral:rRNA from 1 species